AUGGCCGUUCUAUCAACGACGGCUCCACCGGAAAAGGGGGCGCCGCCUCCUGAAGAUGGCCUCGUCGUGGGCGUCUUCAGCGGCCAGGAAUGGAAGGUCCUUCGGGAGAGAUCAACGAGUUUAAUCAAGAAAGCGAAAAAUCGGGAAAGAUGUCUUGAGCAUUCAAGGAGAAGAUUGAGGGAUUUGUGCCGCAAAUUGGCAGGUGAGAUCCCAUCUGACUCACAUGAGGAAGGUCCGACGGGGCCCAAUUUUGCUAUGGAAAUUGUUGUUACGGUGAGACAUGAUUUGGGGAAAAAUUUAGGGACAGAGGAGGAGGUGGUAUUUAAUCUUGAUUAUUUGGUAAAUUCUCUCUCUAGUUUGGAAAGUAAGGACAUGAAUCAGUGGGGAUCUUCCAAGGGAAUCGCGAAGUUUUCGGCAGGUGGGAUCCCGUCGAGUCUUUGUGAGGAUGGUAGGAUAGGAUUGAGAGGAAACAGGAGUCCCGCUAGGUGGGAGGGGAAUGAUUCGGACGAGAUGGGCGUGAUUUCCGCCCGGGAUUCAAAGGCUCUUCUUGCUAUUCUGCUAGUUAACUUAUCCAUUCCAGUUUUUAGUAUGAGUAUUCAGCAGGAUUUGAUUGUGUUCUCGAUUCUGGAUCCAGCUCUGCCUGUUUGUGAAUCAUUUGAGGGAGAGGGAGUUUUUUCGCUGUAG
rnacentral:rRNA from 1 species